rnacentral:rRNA from 1 species
UACGGAGGGUGCAAGCGUUAUCCGGAUUCACUGGGUUUAAAGGGUGCGUAGGCGGGCAAGUAAGUCAGUGGUGAAAUCUCCGAGCUUAACUCGGAAACUGCCGUUGAUACUAUUUGUCUUGAAUAUUGUGGAGGUAAGCGGAAUAUGUCAUGUAGCGGUGAAAUGCUUAGAUAUGACAUAGAACACCAAUUGCGAAGGCGGCUUACUACACAAUUAUUGACGCUGAGGCACGAAAGCGUGGGGAUCAAACAGG